rnacentral:rRNA from 1 species
GUUCGGAUUGUAGUCUGCAACUCGACUACAUGAAGCUGGAAUCGCUAGUAAUCGCAGAUCAGAAUGCUGCGGUGAAUACGUUCCCGGGUCUUGUACACACCGCCCGUCACACCAUGGGAGUCGGAAAUGCCCGAAGCCGGUGACCAAACCAAUAAGGAAGGAGCCGUCGAAGGCGGGUCUGAUAACUGGGGUGAAGUCGUAACAAGGUAAC